AAUGCGUCAUAGUAAGUAGCGCCAUCUAUUUAAUCACAGUUGUUUUAAAUUCAACGAGUCAGUGACGUAGUUGGUAGUUUAAAAGCAAACCAACAGGUAGCGCUAUAUUACCAAAGACCGGUAAAAAGCUUCCCGAAAGUUGAGCUUGGUGUACAUUCAGUUAGUUUGCUUUUGCAUUUUGUGAGUGUAAGUUGGGUCUGUGACGUUCGAAGUGUGUUUUCGUAACUCGCGGAGUAACUUAUUUAUCACUAACUGUUUUGUGUAUGAGUGGUGAAAUUCUGUGUAUAGUGAUUACUGUGUAUGUGGUUAAUAGAGAAGUGACUGUUCAUCGGAAUUUACCUAGAGAAAAACUUUUAGGUAUUCUCCACCCUGUUCCCAACCGCUGAAUAAACAAGAAGGUUUCGUGAAGCUCCGAAUAUUGACGGUGGAAAUGAUUUGAACAACCACGGAGGUCAUCAUUCAAGUCUACUAAAAGAAAAGAUGGAAAAGCAAUGCAGCUGGCGGACGCGACGGCGGCACUGCAGGUGAAGCCAGCCCACCAUGGCGCCGAUGCUGCC